UACGUAGGGUGCAAGCGUUGUCCGGAAUUAUUGGGCGUAAAGAGCUCGUAGGCGGUCUGUCGCGUCUGCUGUGAAAACUCAGGGCUUAACCCUGAGCUUGCAGUGGGUACGGGCAGACUAGAGUGUGGUAGGGGAGACUGGAAUUCCUGGUGUAGCGGUGAAAUGCGCAGAUAUCAGGAGGAACACCGGUGGCGAAGGCGGGUCUCUGGGCCGAUACUGACGCUGGAGGAGC
rnacentral:rRNA from 1 species